rnacentral:rRNA from 1 species
GACGAACGCUGGCGGCGUGCUUAACACAUGCAAGUCGAACGGAAAGGCCCUGCUUUUGUGGGGUGCUCGAGUGGCGAACGGGUGAGUAACACGUGAGUAACCUGCCCUUGACUUUGGUAUAACUUCAGGAAACUGGGGCUAAUACCGGAUAGGAGCUCCUGCUGCAUGGUGGGGGUUGGAAAGUUUCGGCGGUUGGGGAUGGACUCGCGGCUUAUCAGCUUGUUGGUGGGGUAGUGGCUUACCAAGGCGUUGACGGGUAGCCGGCCUGAGAGGGUGACCGGCCACAUUGGGACUGAGAUACGGCCCAGACUCCUACGGGAGGCAGCAGUGGGGAAUAUUGCACAAUGGGCGGAAGCCUUAUGCAGCAACGCCGCGUGCGGGAUGACGGCCUUCGGGUUGUAAACCGCUUUCGCCUGUGACGAAGCGUGAGUGACGGUAAUGGGUAAAGAAGCACCGGCUAACUACGUG